AAGUUGACAAUAUACUGUCUCUUGAGUUGACGCGAUUGCCGAUUAGUCUGAAGACGCGAAAAUUAAUCAUAUUAUUUGAUUUACUGUAUCAUCCAUUAUUUGAAAUUGAAAUUGAUAAAAGUUCUUUGUUACAAGUGCGUUUUUCUAAACUACAAAAUAAAUAGUGCACGGUAAUCGCAUAAAUUUUAAAUUUAUAAGCUAAGGAAAUAGUUCUUGUGAUUGAUGAAUGCGUAGUUUUUAUUAAAAUGGGGAUAUUUGGCAAUUCCUCACCGUUUGAUCAAGAUGUCGAACGAGCCACCAGUGAGAACAAUACGAGCGAAGAAUGGGGGCUGAUCAUGGAGAUCUGUGACCGCGCAGGCGCGUCGGCGCAGAGCGCCAAGGAGUGCCUCCGCGCCGUCAUGCGCCGCCUCGCGCACCCCGACCCGCACGUGCAGGUGCACGCCGCCACGCUGCUGGACGCCUGCGUGGCCAACUGCGGCCGCGCCUUCCACCUCGAGGUGGCCUCGCGCGACUUCGAGACCGAGUUCCGGCGCCUCGUGGCCCGCGCGCAGCCCGCCGUGGCCGCGCGGCUGCGGGCGCUGCUGCGCAAGUGGGCCGAGGGCGAGUUCCGCGACGACCCGCAGCUCGACCUCAUCCCCUCGCUGCACGCCAAGCUGCGCGACGCGGGCGAGCGCGCCGAGCCCGCGCCCGCGCCCGCCGCCGCGCCCGCCGCCGCGCAGCGCGAGCAGGAGGAGCUGGCCCGCGCCAUCGCGCUGUCGCUGCGCGAGAGCAGCGCGGCGCCGGCGCCCGCGCCGCUGUACCCGCGCGUGGACGCCGACGCGCCGCCGCCGCGCAAGGUGCGCGCGCUCUACGACUUCGAGGCGGCCGAGGACAACGAGCUCACCUUCCUGGCCGGCGAGAUUGUGCACGUGACGGACUCGAGCGACCCCAACUGGUGGAAGGGGUACAACGAGCGCGGCGAGGGACUGUUCCCCGCCAACUUCGUGACGGGCGAGCUGUCGGCGCCCGCGCCGCCGGCCGAGGCGCCGGCGGCGGCGGCCGAGGAGCCGGCGCCGCUGCGCAUCGACGAGGCGACCAUGGACGCGGCGCUGGCGCUGCUGCACGAGGCGGACCCGCGCGCGGCGGGCGCGGAGGAGGCGGCGCUGGCGCGGCUGGAGGCGGCGGCGCACGGCAUGGGCGCGCUGGUGGACGCGGCGCUGGAGCGCGCGGACCGGCGCCACGCGCGCCUCACGCAGCUGUCGGCCGACCUGGUGGACGCGCUCAACCUCUACCACGAGCUCAUGCGCGCGCCGCCGCUGCUGCUCGCGCCGCUGCACCCGCCGCCGCCCAGGUGCUGACCGUGCAACGCAGCUGGUGGCUCGCGCGUGACGUAGCGCGGCGUCGUGCCGUGCCGCGCCCGUGCCGCGCUCGUGCUGUGCCGCGUGACGCGUGAUGCGCGCCGUGCUUGCACAUUGCAUUGUUUUUUACUACUACUGCUAUAUUGUAUUGUUAUUAUACGUUUUUAAAUGUGGUUAAAAAUUUUCCUUCUGUAGCCAAUCAAAUUAAUAAAGGAUGUUUAUUCAAUAGUA
rnacentral:misc_RNA from 1 species